rnacentral:rRNA from 1 species
UGCAAGUCGAACGAAGUAGCAAUACUUAGUGGCAGACGGGUGAGUAACAUGUAGGUAUCUGCCCUUUGGCCUGGAAUAACACGAGGAAACUUGUGCUAAUACCGGAUAAGUCUUUACGGAGAAAGCUUUAUGCACCAUUGGAUGAGCCUGCAUUUGAUUAGUUUGUUGGUGGGGUAAUGGCCUACCAAGACUGUGAUCAAUACCUGAUUUGAGAGGAUGAUCAGCCACAUUGGGACUGAGACACGGCCCAAACUCCUACGGGAGGCAGCAGUGGGGAAUCUUGCACAAUGGAGGAAACUCUGAUGCAGCGAUGCCGCGUGAGUGAAGAAGGCCUUUGGGUUGUAAAGCUCUUUCGUCGGGGAAGAAAAUGACUGUACCCGAAUAAGAAGGUCCGGCUAACUUCGUGCCAGCAGCCGCGGUAAUACGAAGGGACCUAGCGUAGUUCGGAAUUACUGGGCUUAAAGAGUUCGUAGGUGGUUGAAAAAGUUGGUGGUGAAAUCCCAGAGCUUAACUCUGGAACUGCCAUCAAAACUUUUCAGCUAGAGUAUGAUAGAGGAAA